CAACCAAAAAACCCCUGCUGUGCCGAGCUGCAUACUUCCUUACAUGCCCAUACUGUACUGUGAAUGGAUAUGGAAUGUAAAGAAGUAUGUAGAACGGAAUCUAACGGCGAAAUUUGAAAUU
rnacentral:precursor_RNA from 14 species